GACGAACGCUGGCGGCGUGCUUAACACAUGCAAGUCGAGCGGUAAGGCCCUUUCGGGGGUACGACGAGCGGCGAACGGGUGAGUAACACGUGGGUGACCUGCCCUCAGCUCUGGGAUAAGCCUGGGAAACGUGGGUCUAAUACCGGAUAUGACUCCAUGACGCAUGUUGUGGGGUGGAAAGCCUUGUGCGGCUGAGGAUGGGCCCGCGGCCUAUCAGCUUGUU
rnacentral:rRNA from 1 species